AUUGAACGCUGGCGGCAUGCCUAACACAUGCAAGUCGAGCGAGCGGCGGACGGGUGAGUACUGUAUGGGGACUGCCCGAUAGAGGGGGAUAACUACUGGAAACGGUUGCUAAUACCGCAUACUAUCCGAUAACCCAUAUGGGAUUAGCUAGUAGGUGAGGUAAUGGCUCACCUAGGCGACGAUCCCUAGCUGGUCUGAGAGGAUGAUCAGCCACACUGGGACUGAGACACGGCCCAGACGCCUACGGAGGCAGCAGUGGGGAAUAUUGCACAAUGGGCGCAAGCCUGAUACAGCCAUGCCGCGUGUAUGAAGAAGGCCCUAGGGUUGUAAAGUACUUUCAGUCGGGAGGCGUUACCGACAGAAGAAGCACCGGCUAACUCCGUGCCAGCCGCCGCGGUAAUAC
rnacentral:rRNA from 1 species